rnacentral:rRNA from 1 species
GACAGGAGGGUGCAAACGUUGUUCGGAAUUACUGGGCGUAAAGCGCGUGUAGGCGGCCAUCUAAGUCGGGCGUGAAAUCCCACGGCUCAACCGUGGAAGUGCACUCGAAACUGGAUGGCUAGAGUCCUGGAGAGGAAGGUGGAAUGCUUGGUGUAGAGGUGAAAUUCGUAGAUAUCAAGCGGAACACCGGUGGCGAAGGCGGCCUUCUGGACAGUGACGUGACGCUGAGACGCGAAAGCGUGGGGAGCAAACAGGG